GCCUGGGUGGCUCAGUUGGUUAAGCAUCUGACUUCAACUCAGGUCACGAUCUCGCAGUUUGUGGGUUCAAGCCCCUCAUCGGGCU
rnacentral:tRNA from 1 species